rnacentral:misc_RNA from 1 species
AAACAGUCAGAAGGAAUCGCUUUACUCUCCAUGUACAACGAUGAAGAUGAUGAAGAUAUGGAAGAUCUCGAUGACCAGCAACAACAGCAUGAAGAGCAGCAACAACAGCAUGAAGAAGACGAGCUGCUGGAAGAUCAGAACGAUUAUAGGGAAUCAAACGAGACGGGACCUGAUUCAGUUAACGAUGCAAUGGUUACUGAUGACUUGCCUAAUGAAACAUCAGAACAUUUAGAAACGUCACAACCUAUUGAAAUGAAUAAUACUGUUAUUGAGUCAGAAGCUGUAGAAAAUGAAGGUACUACUAAUGUUCUUGCAGAAGAUGAUUCAUUGGAUAAAUUUCUUCCCCCAC